rnacentral:lncRNA from 1 species
UUUUUUUUCAUCCUCUUUAAAGGCAGUUCAGUUUACCUCUAAGCAAGACAUUAGCUCCGGCUGCCCCAAAUAACAUUUUAAUUGAAGUCUCAGUCCAAACAAAUGCCCGGCCUCUUUAUUAACCCCAACAGUGUAAUUUUUCAACCUAAGACUGAUGCAGGGGGAAACUGUCUCACUUAAACUGCCAUGCAAUGGAACAUGCCAGUUUUCCUCAAUCAGUCUCUUUUCUGACCUUAAUUUGAACCUUAAUCUCUUUUAACCAUGUUCUCUUUAUUAGCUGCUCAUAGCCGUGGCACAAUACUAAUUUUCCUGUUUUUAGACUAUCAGUUUACAGAGGUAUUUCGCUCCCCCUUCUGCCUACAAAUGUAUCCAAGAUUUCAUGGACCUUUUUGGGAAAGGAAAGAUACUACUUAACCUUUUUUUUUUUUUUUUUUUUUUAAGGUUUAGUAAUUUAAAUAGCCGCUUUGCAAAAUGGUCUGUAGAAUUUUAGGCUGGUAUUUUUUGAGGUACCUUACAGUUCAGGUAUGAAAAAUUAUAUACAUUAUUGUCAGAAAAACCUAAAAAACCUUUUAAAUGGUUACAAAAUAUCUUCCAUCAACAGAUAGGUCCACACUCAUAAAAAUAGCAUGGAAACUAAGGCUAUUAUCUUAGUAAUUCAGGCAAAAACAAUAUGUUUUUAUUAGAAACGUCUAAUCUUUGGGGGGAGACCUGAAUUAUCCAGAUAAUUGCUUCAAUUCCUUCCUUUUUUUAAUGCUUAGAUAUAAUCAAUGAGUAAGGACAGAGGAAAAUCAUUUUUUCUUAAUUAUACCUUCCCAUUUUUUGACAUUGGUGAAAUGAUCCGAAUUAAAAAGAAAAAAAAAUUCACCCUUUGCAAUAACAAUGAAAAAAAAAUGUGUUUCUCUAUUUGGAGUCUACCUUAAUAUAGCAGAACUAUGUAGGUAGAAAAACAGUGCUUAUGAUCAUGUGCUCAAUUAGAUUUAUUAUAGGUUUUUGUACUUUUUGGCAUUAGCAUGAAAGCAUAUUGGUUAUUAUUCUUUCUAACCUAAUUGAAGGCUUUGUAUCUCGUUACCCCUCUGUUCUCUGCUUCAUACAAUAGUUUGUUGAUUGCAAAAAUUACAUUGCUGUGACUUUAAAGUCCUAGAACUAGAAUUGUCAUGGAAAGUUGGAGAUUCAGCCUGGUGUUUGGAGGGCAAGGACCAUGUGCCCUCUGGGUGUGAGGAAGUAGGCAGCUGGGAACAAUGGCCUGUCCCCUGCAGUGUUCAGUGGCAGUAGCAGCGUGUUGGCACGAUAAACUUUGCCUUCAUUUCGCUGGCUCAAACAAUUAGUGGGAUUGAAUCAGAGUUCUCCUGGAUCACAGUUUAUUAUAUGUUAUUAAAUUCCAUUAUUCGAGAAGUUGCUGCUACGAUUAUAAAACUUCUCAGCGUCUCCAGCAUCUCCCUUCUCUGUGUACUUUCUUUUAUGUUUCUCUUCGGCUUCUCUGAUAGACAAGGUUUCUUUUCUCUCUCACUUUCUCUUUUUUUUUUUUUUUUUUUCGUUUUCUUUCCCCUUGGUACUUAUUUAAAGCGCUAAGAGCUAAUUUGAAAAUACAUCUUUGAAAGGGCAACAAAAAUGAGAUGUGAAAAAAAAUGGACCAAGAUUCUUAAUUAGUCCAUUAUUUGACACGCACGAUUUAACAUGGUAUGCUUAGCAUUGUGCAUUCCCCAAAAGAACAAGGCUCUUUUUUUUUUUUUUUUUUAUCCCAAACUUUAACUCCCUCUCAUUCAUUAUAUCCCUUCUUGUCACUUUCCAUUAGCUGAUCAUGACAUCCUUUGCUGGAAGGGCGAGCAAGCAGAUUACUUCCAAACUGGUGUAAGUGACACUCAAAAGACUGGCCUAAAGGGGCUUCUGAGACAGCACCAAGCUCCUCAGCCCCUGGAGUUGGAGAAUGUCAUUUCAAUAAUAUCUCGGAGGCCAUUGUCACAUCAUUUCGGUAGCAACUUGGCAACUUCCCAGAAGUCUGGCAGAUGCCAACUUAUGUCUUUUUCCAUGAGAACAGGCUAUAUGUACCACACCAAUGUCUGGGAAACCCAGCCUGUCUCCCUAAAUCUAAAGGAUAAAGAGGUAAUCAAAAGAAUAUUCAUGUUAAUGCAACUGAAAAAUAUCCCGUCACCAGGCACUUCUCAGUGGGGGCAGGGGCUGACUGAAUGAGUCAGCCAGGGAUCAUCGAACAGACUCAGAUAGAUUGUGUGACGAAAAGAAGAGGAGAAUCUGAUGCUUUGGUCAGAUCAGCCCUGGAGAUGAGAAGUGUUCCCCGGCCCAUCGUCCCUGCCUCCCUCCAUCCUCCCCUCUUCCCAAAGGUCCCACCUCGGGAAUCAGAUCCUCAGCCUUGGAAGCCGUUGACCUGGGGAGAGCUGAAUGGAUGCAGGUGGAAAGUGGGACCCAGUCAGUCACAGACAGCCAGGAACUCUGGUCUGAACAGCGCUAGGACGGAUCCUGGCUGCCCCUCCGACCCUCCCUUCAGCUUCUGGCCUCUGGUGGGCUUUUGCUCCUGAGAAAAACGUUUUCUCCAUCAACCAAGUUUCAGCUUCUUUCCUUCCUUAAGCAAGAUUUAGCUUCUUUUCCCAGUGACCCUUCGAAACAUUUUGACUAUAAAAUAGAGAAUAUGGAAAUACAAAGCAAACAUUAAAGUUCCUUUACUGUUCUGCCAAUGGGGAGAAACGGAUAGUCUCCUGGUACCUAUCUUUCCAGGCAAGGCUAUCCGUAUCGUACAUGCUGGGUGGUAAAGCUGAGUGGUGACAGGGAUAGACUCUGAAGCCAGACCACCCAUCUUUAAGUCUAGACACUGCCGUCAGCAAUGUCACCCAACCCCUCUAUUCCCCAGGGUCCUCACAGGUAACGUUCCUCCCUCAGUGUUGUGACCAUGCGCUAAUAUUAGCAUGUGAAGCACCUGGCCCAUGAGAACCACUUAUUGCAUCUUAGCUACUGUUACGUAUGUGUUGAUCUCAUGUUCUUAUCUUACUGGCUUUUGCUAACCAUGCUCCAGCCUCCUCGGGUCCAAGCCCAUAGAUAACUUCAUCCUCAGCCAUGAUUCUGUGUCUUUUCAGUCCAUUUGGUUUGACCAGCUUCCCCCUCACACCGCUUCAGUGAUUCUUCCAGGUCUCCAUUCCUGUCCAUUUAACCAUAACUCUUAAAUCAGCAUUGCCAGCAUCUUAUUUCCACUCCUCUCUGAUGGACACAUUUCUGCCUGGAUGCCCUGCUUACCCAGCCUGGCACCAAGGCAAAGCCUGAGCAGCCAUCCUCAUUCUCAUCUGUCUUGAACUCCUUGAAGUGAGUACAGAUGGAGGCAGUUUUAGGAACUGGUGAUCACAGAGCAGCAGCAGCAGCAGCAGCAGCAGCAGCAGCAGUAGCAGCAGCAGCAGCAGCAACAGCAGCAACCCCUAGUUGGGACUGUCAAUGACAUUCUGGGUUCCAUAUAUAUACAUAUAUAUAUAAAUGCAAGGGCAAGUUUCUUGUUUAAACCAUUUUAAAUGUAAAAAAGAAGGUCAUUAUGAAGGUUUUAAAAAAUCUUUUAAAAAAUCCUCUUUGUCAAAUCUAUCUCAGUGAUCAUUGCACCACUGAGAAGGAAAACAUGUACAUUAAAAAAUAUAUCCGUAUUUUAACUUGGGCGUGUAGGCAAUGGGAGAGCGGAUGGCCAGCUACAGGAGUGGCGGGACAGGGACUUACAUCUAGUGAAGCUGGGACCUUUCACGUGGACCUUUCAGACUAAAAAAAAAAAAAAAA